UUGACUUACUGGAUUCCUUACUUGGACUUUAUAGAAUUCAAUUGCGCUUAAGAAAAUGGUAUAAAAAAAUAUUUUUUUUGAUAUAUGCGUAUUGAAUUCAUUGAUUCUAUGGCGUCGUAAGUCAGAUCAAUAUAUGCCACUCUUCGAUUUCAAGCUUUUAAUAGCUGAGCACCUGUGAAAGGCAGGAAAAUAAAGAAGCGCGGACGACCUGCGAUGACUCCAACUUCAUCCCCGUGUACAAGUAGGGAAGGUACUCCUACUACCAGCAAAAGACGAAUGCACCAGGAAAUUCUAUUGAAUUCUGUUCGGGAGGACCAUAUUGGGCAUUUUCACACCUGGAAAAAGCAAAGGCAACUCUGCAAAAACCUUUUGUGAGAAAUGCAAUGUAUUUCUAUGUUACAACGACAAAAGAAACUGUUCCACCAACUUUCACAUGAAGUAAUGUAUACAUGCAUACAGAGCCAUAUAUGGCAAACUAUGUAAUCAGCUGAAUGCAUGCAAAGCCAUAUAUCGAAAUUCUACAAAUCUUAGAUGAUUAUGGCAUAUCACUUGAUCAGAUUUACUGGGAAGGUACUCCUACUACCAGCAAAAGACGAAUGCACCAGGAAAUUCUAUUGAAUUCUGUUCGGGAGGACCAUAUUGGGCAUUUUCCCACCUGGAAAAAGCAAAGGCAACUCUGCAAAAACCUUUUGUGAGAAAUGCAAUGUAUUUCUAUGUUACAACGACAAAAAAAACUGUUCCACCAACUUUCACAUGAAGUAAUGUAUACAUGCAUACAGAGCCAUAUAUGGCAAACUAUGUAAUCAGCUGAAUGCAUGCAAAGCCAUAUAUCGAAAUUCUACAAAUCUUAGAUGAUUAUGGCAUAUCACUUGAUCAGAUUUACUGCAUUACGUCUGAUUAUGUACGAAACAUGUCCAUGCCGUCCAGGUAUUAAAUGAUGCGACAGAGGAAUCUCUUUUUGAAGAAGACAUAGAAAGCGAGAAUCUUCUGAAAGGAUUCUAUUGAACUGGCUAAUAUACACCUUGUGAGAUGUGCAGCAUGCACUCUGCAACUGUGGGUAUUUAAUGUAAACAAAACAAAUUUAAAUUUAAUAAAAUAAGUGGCUG